AAGUAACUGAGCGCGCGUGCGCCGCACAGGCGCGCCGUCCUGAAAGAGGGUAUUUCCGGCGGGAGAAGGAGGGGGGGUCUUUCCUUUUUUUUCUUGAGACGGAGUUUCGCUCUUGUUUCCCAGGCUGGAGUGCAAUGGCGCGAUCUCGGCUCAUCGCAACCUCCGCCUCCCGGGUUCAAGCGAUUCUCCUGCCUCAGCCUCCCAAGUAGCUGGGAUUACAGGCAUGCGCCACCACGUCCGGCUAAUUUUUUGUAUUUUUAGUAGAGACGGGGGUUUCACCAUGUUUGUCAGGCUGGUCUCGAACUCCUGACCUCAGGUAAUCCACCCGCCUCGGCCUGCCAAAGUGGGCCGCCGCGCCUCAGAAGCGGGACGGCGUGGCACCCGAUAUCGAGACACCUGAUGGUGAUUGUGAAGCACAAUUCCCUCUCCCAUGUUUUAAAAACGCGCGCCCCUGGCCGGGCGCGGAGGCUCACGCCUGUAAUCCCAGCACUUUGGGAGGCCGAGGCGGGUGGAUCAUGAGGUCAGGGGUUCAAGACCAGCCUGGCCAAGGUGGUGAAACCCCGUCUCUACUAAAAAUACAAAAAAAUUAGCCGGGCGUGGUGGCGGGCGCCUGUAAUCCCAGCUACUUGGGAGGCUGAGGCAGAUAAUUGCUUGAACCUAGGAGGCAGAGAUUGCAGUGGGCCGAGAAUGUGCCACUGCAUUCCAGUCUGGCGACAGAGUGAGACUCUGUCUCAACAAACAGACAAACAAAAAACACGAGCCCCUCAUACACUGGCCAGUUGUUUUUGCUUUUUUGUGACAAAGUCUGGCUGUGUCCCCAGGCUGGUGUGCAGUGGUGUGAUCACCGUUCACUGCAGCCUUGACCUCCAGGGCUCAAGUUAUCCUGCCACCUCAGCCUCCCAAGUGGCUGGGACCGUGGACCACGCCUGGCUUUUUAAUUUUGUAUUUAUUUUUUGAGACGGAGUCUCACUCUGUCACCCAGGCUGAAGGCCAGUGGCGUGAUGUGGCUCACUGCAACCUCCACCUCCCUGGUUCAAGCGAUUCUCCUGCCUCAGCUUCCUGAGUAGCUGGGAUUACAGGUGCGUGUCACCAUGCCUGGCUAAUUUUUGUAUUUUUUAGUACAGAUGGGGUUUCACCACGUUGGUCAGGCUGGUCUCGAACUCCUGACCUCAGGUGAUCUGCCUGCCUCGGCCUCCCAAAGUGCUGGGAUUACAGAUGUGAGCCACUGUUCCUGGUCUAAUUUUUUUUUGUUGUUAGAUCAGAGUCUUGCUAUGUUACCCAGGCUGUUACUGAACUCUUGGGCUCAGGAGAUCCGCCUGCCUCGGGCUCCCAAAGUGCUAGGAUUACAGGCAUGAACCACCGUGCCUGGCGGACUAGCCGCUUUUUAUUUUUCUUCGUGGUUAUUGCAGGGUUGUGGAGCUUUAAAUCAUGCUUCUGUAGUCAGAGUGCUCUUAGUUGCAUUGUCUUAAUCCUCAUCACGGCCCGAGAACAGUCUGUAAAUCGGGAGUUCAGAGUGGGACCCUCUGCGGGGACCGGAAACCUGUUGCUGAAGCCGCUCACCACCAGGCCCAGAGAGGCGAGGCUGGAGCCCAUGGUGACAGUGGCCGGGCUUCGCUCUGGCUCCAGCAAUACCUGCAAAUCCAGUUCUUCCCAGCUGUUUCUCCAAACUGGUAGGAAAAAAAAAAGUGCAGAUUAGGGAGCCGAAACCCCACUUCAAAAACGGGAAUUCACCUACAAGAAAGUAGCUGAUCCUGCUCCCAUUGACGUGCUUGUUGUGCAAGGGUGAGGUUAACCAGCUAGGACCAAGCAACGGGUUUCCCUACACCCUGGGUGUGGCCACUCGUCCUGCAAGGAGAUAACCCAAGGAAGCAGCUCCUCCUGAAUCAUACAUGUUGAUCGCAGAUUGAGCUAGAAGGCAGAUCUCAUGACUGGUAUAAUGACUUCACUGGGAAGUUCUAGCAGUUGCCAGAACUGUAAGUUAGUUAUACAGGCUCCUGGUUCAAUGUUUUCCCGAAGUAGGUCAUUUGGUAACCUAAGAUUAGGAAUUUGGUAAUCUGGCACAAUACUUGGCACUGUGCUCAAUAAAUG
rnacentral:lncRNA from 1 species